rnacentral:rRNA from 1 species
UACAGAGGUCUCGAGCGUUGUUCGGAUUUAUUGGGCGUAAAGGGUGCGUAGGCGGCGCGGUAAGUCGGGUGUGAAAUCUCGGAGCUUAACUCCGAAACUGCAUUCGAUACUGCCGUGCUUGAGGACUGGAGAGGAGACUGGAAUUUACGGUGUAGCGGUGAAAUGCGUAGAUAUCGUAAGGAAGACCAGUGGCGAAGGCGGGUCUCUGGACAGUUCCUGACGCUGAGGCACGAAGGCCAGGGGAGCAAACGGG